GAACCCGGGAGGUGGAGCUUGCAGUGAGCCGAGAUCGCGCCACUGCACUGCAGCCUGGGCGACAGAGUGAGACUCUGUCUCAAAAAAGAAAAAAAAAAAAGAUAAAAUUACCAGAAAAUAUUAAACAGGCAGCACUGAGAAGUGAAGGAAUAUUUGGGAGGAUCAGAAGCUUGGUCCUGAUUUUGCCAUCAACAGGAACUUGAUGACUUCAAGGGAGUCCCCAAACCCUGGGUUUCUGUUUUCUCAACUCUAACAUGAGGGGCUAGAUGCAUCUGGUUUAGUUAGUCUCCAUGAUGGUUUAGUUCGUCUCCAUGAUCCUGUGAAUUUCAGAUGUUGAAAAUCUUCGGAAAAGCCCUGAAAGAUGAACAGUGGUCUCAAAUAGUCAAGACCCCCUGCUGGGAGGAGCUUCUAUCCUGCUCUGUGGAA
rnacentral:lncRNA from 10 species